rnacentral:misc_RNA from 1 species
UGGCUCUGGCAUCGAUGAAGAACGCAGCGAAAUGCGAUAAGUAGUGUGAAUUGCAGAUCUCCGUGAAUCAUCGAAUCUUUGAACGCACAUUGCGCCCUUUGGUAUUCCUUAGGGCAUGCCUGUUCGAGCGUCGUUUCAAUGUUCAAGCUUUGCUUGCUGUUGGGUGUCUGUCUCAGCCGUCUUCGGUAGGACUCGCCUUAAAAUCAUCAGCGUCCGUACGGUUUAGCUAAGAGCGCAGCAGAUUACAGCGCCUCGAAGCCUAGCGUACCGCCCGCUGCGAAACGUUCUACUCAAAUUUUUGACCUCGAAUCAGGUAGGGAUACCCGCUGA